ACUCCUACGGGAGGCAGCAGUGGGGAAUAUUGGACAAUGGGCGCAAGCCUGAUCCAGCCAUGCCGCGUGGGUGAAGAAGGCCUUCGGGUUGUAAAGCCCUUUUGUUGGGAAAGAAAAGCAGUCGGUUAAUACCCGAUUGUUCUGACGGUACCCAAAGAAUAAGCACCGGCUAACUUCGUGCCAGCAGCCGCGGUAAUACGAAGGGUGCAAGCGUUACUCGGAAUUACUGGGCGUAAAGCGUGCGUAGGUGGUGGUUUAAGUCCGUUGUGAAAGCCCUGGGCUCAACCUGGGAAUUGCAGUGGAUACUGGGUCACUAGAGUGUGGUAGAGGGUAGCGGAAUUCCUGGUGUAGCAGUGAAAUGCGUAGAGAUCAGGAGGAACAUCCGUGGCGAAGGCGGCUACCUGGACCAACACUGACACUGAGGCACGAAAGCGUGGGGAGCAAACAGGAUUAGAUACCCUGGUAGUCCACGCCCUAAACGAUGCGAACUGGAUGUUGGGUGCAAUUUGGCACGCAGUAU
rnacentral:rRNA from 1 species